GACGAACGCUGGCGGCGUGCCUAAUACAUGCAAGUUGAGCGAUGAAGAUUGGUGCUUGCACCAAUUUGAAGAGCAGCGAACGGGUGAGUAACGCGUGGGGAAUCUGCCUUUGAGCGGGGACAACAUUUGGAAACGAAUGCUAAUACCGCAUAACAACUUUAAACAUAAGUUUUAAGUUUGAAAGAUGCAAUUGCAUCACUCAAAGAUGAUCCCGCGUUGUAUUAGCUAGUUGGUGAGGUAAAGGCUCACCAAGGCGAUGAUACAUAGCCGACCUGAGAGGGUGAUCGGCCACAUUGGGACUGAGACACGGCCCAAACUCCUACGGGAGGCAGCAGUAGGGAAUCUUCGGCAAUGGACGAAAGUCUGACCGAGCAACGCUGCGUGAGUGAAGAAGGUUUUCGGAUCGUAAAACUCUGUUGGUAGAGAAGAACGAUGGUGAGAGUGGAAAGCUCAUCAAGUGACGGUAACUACCCAGAAAGGGACGGCUAACUACGUG
rnacentral:rRNA from 1 species